rnacentral:misc_RNA from 1 species
GAUGAAGAACGUAGUGAAAUGCGAUAAGUAAUGUGAAUUGCAGAAUUCAGUGAAUCAUCGAAUCUUUGAACGCACAUUGCGCCCAUUAGUAUUCUAGUAGGCAUGCCUGUUCGAGCGUCAUUAAGUCCACUUAAGCCCUGCUUAGUGUUGGGAGACUGCUCCAGCGGUGCUACCCUGUAGCUACCCUGCAGCUCCUCAAAGACAGCGGCGGAGUUGUGGUAUCCUCUGAGCUUAGUAACUUGUUCUAGCUUUCGAGUACACCACUUCCCCUGCCGUAAAACCCUUAAUUUUUAAUGGUUGACCUCGGAUCAGGUAGGAAUACCCGCUGAACUUAAGCAUAUCAAUAAGCGGAGGA